AUUGAACGCUGGCGGCAUGCCUUACACAUGCAAGUCGAACGGCAGCGCGGGAGCAAUCCUGGCGGCGAGUGGCGAACGGGUGAGUAAUAUAUCGGAACGUGCCCUAGAGUGGGGGAUAACUAGUCGAAAGAUUAGCUAAUACCGCAUACGAUCUACGGAUGAAAGUGGGGGAUCGCAAGACCUCAUGCUCGUGGAGCGGCCGAUAUCUGAUUAGCUAGUUGGUAGGGUAAAAGCCUACCAAGGCCACGAUCAGUAGCUGGUCUGAGAGGACGACCAGCCACACUAGGACUGAGACACGGCCCAGACUCCUACGGGAGGCAGCAGUGGGGAAUUUUGGACAAUGGGGGAAACCCUGAUCCAGCAAUGCCGCGUGUGUGAAGAAGGCCUUCGGGCUGUAAAGCACUUUUGUCCGGAACGAAACGGGCCGAGCUAAUAUCUUGGCCUAAUGACGGUACCGGAAGAAUAAGCACCGGCUAACUACGUGCCAGCCGCCGCAGUAA
rnacentral:rRNA from 1 species